GGGGAUGUGACUCAGUGGUUGAGUGCUUUCCUGGUAUGUGUAGGGUCCUGGGUUUGAUCCCCAGCACCUCCA
rnacentral:tRNA from 1 species